rfam:Rhodopirellula sp. SWK7 cSWK70029, whole genome shotgun sequence.
AAAUCGACAAAGAAUCGUCGUCGGACGCCUUCACGCCAAGACCUGCCAGUUGACGAACAGAAAUCACAUGAGGCCGACGCCCAGGGGCGAGUAGGCAUGUCACGAACGAAGCCCAGACUGGAUAAGUGCUGGCGGAGGUAGAUGUGGCAAUUGGGCAGGGACAGAUCACGUU